rnacentral:rRNA from 1 species
UUCACGGAGAGUUUGAUCCUGGCUCAGGACGAACGCUGGCGGCGUGCUUAACACAUGCAAGUCGAACGAUGAACCGCUUUCGGGCGGGGAUUAGUGGCGAACGGGUGAGUAACACGUGGGCAAUCUGCCCUGCACUCUGGGACAAGCCCUGGAAACGGGGUCUAAUACCGGAUAUGACCGYCUGCCGCAUGGUGGAUGGUGUAAAGCUYCGGCGGUGCAGGAUGAGCCCGCGGCCUAUCAGCUUGUUGGUGAGGUAGUGGCUCCGUGAAUGUGUAC